AAUGAACGCUGGCGGCAGGCCUAACACAUGCAAGUCGAACGGAUCCUUCGGGAUUAGUGGCGGACGGGUGAGUAACGCGUGGGAACAUACCCAAAGGUACGGAAUAGCCUCGGGAAACUGGGAGUAAUACCGUAUGUGCUCGAAAGAGGACAGAUUUAUCGCCUUUGGAUUGGCCCGCGUUGGAAUAGGUAGUUGGUGGGGUAAUGGACUACCAAGCCGACGAUCCAUAGCUGGUUUGAGAGGAUGAUCAGCCACACUGGGACUGAGACACGGCCCAGACUCCUACGGGAGGCAGCAGUGGGGAAUCUUAGACAAUGGGGGAAACCCUGAUCUAGCCAUGCCGCGUGAUCGAUGAAGGCCUUAGGGUUGUAAAGAUCUUUCAGGUGGGAAGAUAAUGACUGUACCACCAGAAGAAGCCCCGGCUAACUCCGUGCCAGCAGCCGCAGUAA
rnacentral:rRNA from 1 species